rnacentral:rRNA from 1 species
UACGUAGGGGGCGAGCGUUGUCCGGAUUUACUGGGCGUAAAGGGUGAGUAGGCGGUAACGUGUGUCAGAUGUUAAAUCCAUGGGCUUAACCCAUGUCAGCAUUUGAAACUGCGUAACUUGAGUGCAGGAGAGGUAAGUGGAAUUCCUAGUGUAGCGGUGAAAUGCGUAGAUAUUAGGAGGAACACCAGUGGCGAAGGCGACUUACUGGACUGUUACUGACGCUGAGUCACGAAAGCGUGGGGAGCGAACA